UGUUGUAUAUGUGCAAUGUCAGUGCCUUUUUUUAUAAAGGAUUGCUUUUACAUGUGAGUUAGUGUCUACAACGUCUUCGCCAGGCGUCAGAGACACAUGAAGGUUACAUAUUUGGGCCAUAUUUAUUGCAUAUUGAUAAUUACCGCAAGUCGCUGCUUGGGAGAUCGUUUUCGUGUGGCAUGUGUCCAUCUGUGAACACCUCAUGAUCCAGGCAGCUCCAAGAAAUUCUCUUGAAGUGAUCUGGCCCCAGGCACCACCUGAGUGUUUAAAUGUAGCAGUGACAGCCUAUGGUUCACUGUGUCUGCUGCUACACAUCAACUUGCCAUGUAACUGCAAUGGAUGUACAAAGUUUUACAGCUCUUCAGCCAUAACAAGAGUUGUAGAGUACAGAACUGUUUGUGCAGAACUUUAUAUGUCACACGCCGAAACAUUAGCUAUGGAAAUAAAUUUGCAAAAUGUAAAUCUUGUUUUUUGAUUGGAGUCAGAUAGUGAUGAUGAUAUUAAGCUUAAGAGUUACAAUACAAGACAUAAAAUAACUGUGAUACCAAAAAUGGAGCCAGAAACAGAAGGUGACAGCAAGAGUAGGCUUACUAAUGAUUAUGACCUUAACAACCACAGUCCUCUUUCAAAUAAGAUUACAGCAGCGUGACAAAACUCAAAACCUUCAGCCAAGACAGAGAAGCUUACAAUACAUUGGAAUCCAGGACAUUUGAUUAAAGUAGCUGAUGAGACAAAAUUCUCCAAAAAUACUGUUUUUCUGUGGGGAAAUAUUGGAACAUGAACUUGAGUAGAAUAUGGCCAGUAUUUCCUUACUAUGGACAUUAGUGCAGUAGAAAAUAAUUUGUAAAGGCCCCAGAAAACCCAAAACUUGGAUUACAUGAGGGAUCAAAGUAUCAUGUACAAGAAAAAGAGAACUUUUUGUACUAUCAAAAACAGAUAGCAGCCCUGAAUUUGCUCACUAUUUCAAAAAAUACAAGUUAACUCUGAGUCGUGUAAUAAGGGAAGCAAAAUUAAGGGAAAAUGACAAACUUAUUGUGGAAUCAUCAAACAAAGCUAAGACAAUGUGGAACACAGUACAGAGACUUACUGGAAAGGUGGAAACACACAAAAAUAUUGUAUUGUCACAGGCGGGCAACGAGAUCACUGAUCCAAAAUUAAUUACAAACCACUUCAAUACUUACUCCACCAAUAUUGCCGGUGAGCUAGUGAAGGAACAAAUGGGAAAAACAUCAAACAAAAUAUUACAGGAAAUUUCUGGAAAUAGUGUAACAAAUACAUCCAUGUUCCUUUGACCAAUAAGUAGGGAAGAACUGUUAAACACCAUAAAGUCAUUAGAAAAUAAAUAUUCAGCCAGAGUUGUUGAUGUGCCAUAUUAUAAUAUAAAAGUAUCAGCUGAACAGAUACUGUGAGAUAUAUACAAUUCUUCACUAUCAAGUGGUAUUUUCCCACAACAGUUAAAAACUGCAAAAGUUGUACCCAUUUACAAAAAGGGCGAUGGGCAGCAGAUGGUCAACUGUAGGUCCGUGUCACUCCUCUCAGGUUUUUAAAAAAUCAUUGAAAAACUAGUUCUGCCACAAUUAACUGAUUUCUUUAACAAAAAAAUAUGAUCUAUGGAUGUCAGCAUGGCUUCAGGCCUCAUUGCAGUACUGAAACAGCCACUUUUAGCCUCAUAAAUCGUAUUUAAAUUCAGUGGAUAAUCACAAAAAAGUUUUGAGGAUUUUCCUGGAUUUAACAAAAGCAUUUGAUUUAAUAGACCAUGAAAUUCUGCUAAGAAAGUUAGAGUGGUAUAGUGUAAGAGGCCUGCUACACGAGUGGCUGAAAUCCUACCUAGAAAAUUGCUCUCAGAUAACACAU